AAAAAAAACUUCAAGAUUUAAUUAUAUAUAGAUGACUUAUAAUUCAGUCGUCCACGAGACGACUGAAAUGUAAGUCGUCCAGGAUUUACGAGGUUUGACCAGAAUCUCGGAAAAAAUCUUGGACGACAUACAAGUAAGUCGUCUCGUGGACGAUUGUAUUAUAAUUCGUCUGUGUAUAAUUAAAUCUUGAAGUUUUUUUUAUAACAAAGACUAGCAAUAAAUUAGCAUGAAAGAUAACAUAAAAGAAUGAUAGAAGGAACAAUCGAUAUGAAUUUGUCAAUACAAGUAUACUAUCUAAGUAUUAUAAUCAACAAACUAAAAACAUACAAAUUUUGAACAUUUAGAAAACAAAUCUCAAGAUUACAAUGAAGACGCUAUUUAAAACUUUUGCUCUCUUAUCUUCAGCAUUUGGCAACUAGAAAAACUGAUUAUCAAAAUUAUUUAAUACAUUAGUUUUCAAAGGAUCUUAAAAAUCUUCACGUAAACUCCAAAACAAAAAAAUAUUAUCUAUUAUAGCAAAACAUAAAUUGUAAAUAUUUUAAUACAUUAUACGAUCAUGAAAUCUUAACUACAAUACAAAUAAUUAAUUAGAUCAAGUCGUAGAUAAAUCUAAUACUUUAGAUUCUCAAUACUAUUAAUUCAAUAAAUAAAAUGUUACAUAACAAUAGGUAAAUUCAUUAUAUUUACUUUACUUCUUAUAUUAUCUUAUGAAGGCUAUUUAAUAUUAAUUAAAUUUCAUCAAAAUAUGUAUUGUGAUUUAAUUUUAAAUAUAAGAGGGUAUAUUUAUAAAUAGACAUAAAUAAUAAAAUUAACAAAUCAUAUUUCAGAUAAGAAAAUUAUAUAAAUAAAUUAAAUAAUUAGUUUAAAAGUUAUUAUAAAACUAAUCUAAAUUAUUAAUACAGACUCGCGCGUAGCGCGAAUAUUAAAUCUAGCGUAGUUCAUAUCUUGUACUAUAUAAAAGUUGAGGGCGUCCACAUAGGAUUUAAAACCUCCAGUCGUGUUAUGACAAAUAAGCAUUUUAAUUUGUUAUUUUUAAAUAUGUCAAUGUUUAUAUAAAAGUUAAAGUUAUAAGCCAUUGAGAACGUCCACAUAUGAUUUAAAACAACAAGUUGUAUUAUGACACAUGAGAUCUUUAAUUUACUUCUUUUUUUUUUGAAAGUGAAUUUGUGUAUAGCACAUAAAGAAUGUCGAUAUUAGCUCAAUACCCAAAAGUGAAAAAAGCUGGUGUCCAGUGUUAUUAUGCAGAAUCAAAUUACCUUAGUGUCCUUUUGUUAAAUGAGAGUUUCAAUAAUGAAAAUCUCAAUUGCCGAUGAAAAUCUCCUCUCUCCUUUUUUUUAAAUAUGUAUAUUAAUUAGAACUUCAUUUCCGUAAAGGGACAAAUCGGAGCAAAACAAAUAGACGCAACACUCUAAAGAAACAUCAGGCUAGGUUUCAUGAGAGAUGACUACAAUCUAUAACUACAGAACAAAGAAGCAGAGAGGGUCAAAGGCAAGGGAAAUAAGGCUAGGGAAGCUUGUUCCCUCCUCCGGUGACUAUCAAUCCGGUUACCGAAGCUUUUCACGGCGGGGUGUCCAAGCCAGUGCUAGAUCCGCCACCGGUUUCCUUCAAUCAAUCACCCACCAGACCUCGGCGUCUCUCGCGUGCCGAUCGAACCUCACCGCGACCGAGACUCUACAUCUCGAGUUUCCCUUGUGUUUAAUCUCGUCCCUCGCACCUCGACGCAACGGAGACGGCAGCGUGUAGCGUCUCCCGGACGGAGGCGAGAAGGUCUAGAGCUAGCUGGUUGGUGGAAGACGCGCCGGUGGAGUCGGAGAUGUCGGCGAGGUGAGUGUUGAGAUCGGUGAGAGAAGAGAAAUAGGGGCAUAAUUGUCUUCCUAAAUUGUUGAACAGUACUUAAAAGUACCUUAUGGUAUUGACCUAAUUUCGCCUAAAGCUGAAUGUAGAGAGUGCAAUUUCUCUUUUCUUAAUAUGUAAAAAAUUUCAAAACUGUUUAUUUCAUAAUAAAAUAAAAAUCAAUUUAAAUAUGGUAAACUUACAAAAUUCAAGGAAUUAUAUAUAAUUUAACUAAAUAUAUAAUAUAUUUUCGAAAAUUAACAUAAAAUAUCUUACAAAUUUAAUAUUUAACUUAAAUAUGCAAGAUAUUUAAACAAUUAGAACUAUAUAAAUUUAAAACACAUGCUUUUUUAAGUUUAGGUUACAUACUAUUGAAAAUAUUCAAUAAUAUGAUUUAAAACAACUAUUAAUAAUAUGACAAAUCAUUAAUUUAGUUUAAUAUUGUUAAAAAGUCAAUAUUCCAAAAAUUGGUUUAUUUUAAAAUAAAACAGAAAUCAAUAU